rnacentral:lncRNA from 1 species
AAAUUUUAUUUUAUAUGUUAAAAAAUUAUAUUAAUAUUAAUAAUAAUAAUAAUUUUUAAUUUAAUAAACUUACAAGGCAUUGAAAUAUUAAAUUUGAUUUUAUAUAAAUCAUAUUAAAACCAUGAUAAAAAGUUUGACAGUUCCAGAGUCAAGAAAUGACUGAUUUAAUCAUAGCAAUCAAUAUUAAAAUUUUUUUUUUCCCUUCCUAAAUGCAUAAAAAUAUAUUUAAAAAAAAAUAUUAACAACGUUGAUGGUCUUAAACAUUUUUUUAUAUCUUUAUAUUUUUUACAGAACAUCUCUAGUAUUAAACUGGAAAAGUUUUGACCAUGCAAAACAAAAUAAAAAAUAAAUUUAAUCAAACUGCGUGUCUGAUAUUAAAAGAAAAAUUAAUAUUCAUUACGAAAUUUUUAAUCACGAAAUCUCUUGAUGAAUAUUCACGUAAAUAUAUACUUUUUUACUAUUAUUAUUUUAUUUUUAAUGAAGUAUAUACUGUUGGUUUCUGUUCGGAAGUUGCUGUAACAAUAACAAACUUGUAAAUAAAAUUUACACAUUUCAGGAAGUAUUUUGCCAGCUAUUGUUCGGUGCGCUGCAACCACCUUGACACACCUGGAAUAUCACCUGCAUUUCAUUGGUGUCAGUACAAAGCUUUUGUGUUAGUUGUCAAAGAUAGCUGGGACGAAUUUUCCUUGUCUCUUGUCACAACAAUGGUUAUCCCGGCUUCAAUGUUUUAUUACGCUUUUAAAACAACUGUCAUACGUCGACAACCGUCUAUACACAUACACACGCAUUUAUAUAUAUAUACUAUAUAUAUAUUUUUAUCUGGCAGAUUUCUGUAUUUAUCCUGUUGCAAAAUUGUUUAAACAACCUGUCCCCCUUUUCUUUCCUCUCUCUCUCUCUCUCUCUCUCUGUCGAAC